CGAGCGAACAGACGAGGAGCUUGCUCCUCUGACGUUAGCGGCGGACGGGUGAGUAACACGUGGAUAACCUACCUAUAAGACUGGGAUAACUUCGGGAAACCGGAGCUAAUACCGGAUAACAUGCUGAACCGCAUGGUUCAACAGUGAAAGACGGUCUUGCUGUCACUUAUAGAUGGAUCCGCGCCGCAUUAGCUAGUUGGUAAGGUAACGGCUUACCAAGGCAACGAUGCGUAGCCGACCUGAGAGGGUGAUCGGCCACACUGGAACUGAGACACGGUCCAGACUCCUACGGGAGGCAGCAGUAGGGAAUCUUCCGCAAUGGGCGAAAGCCUGACGGAGCAACGCCGCGUGAGUGAAGAAGGUCUUCGGAUCGUAAAACUCUGUUAUUAGGGAAGAACAAAUGUGUAAGUAACUAUGCACGUCUUGACGGUACCUAAUCAGAAAGCCACGGCUAACUACGUGCCAGCAGCCGCGGUAAUACGUAGGUGGCAAGCGUUAUCCGGAAUUAUUGGGCGUAAAGCGCGCGUAGGCGGUUUUUUAAGUCUGAUGUGAAAGCCCACGGCUCAACCGUGGAGGGUCAUUGGAAACUGGAAAACUUGAGUGCAGAAGAGGAAAGUGGAAUUCCAUGUGUAGCGGUGAAAUGCGCAGAGAUAUGGAGGAACACCAGUGGCGAAGGCGAC
rnacentral:rRNA from 1 species